rnacentral:tRNA from 1 species
GGAGAGAUGGCUCAGUGGUUAAGAGCACUGACUGCUCUUCCAGAGGUCCUGAGUUCAAUUCCCAGCAACUUAA